rnacentral:rRNA from 1 species
AUUGAACGCUGGCGGCAUGCCUUACACAUGCAAGUCGAACGGCAGCACGGGAGCAAUCCUGGUGGCGAGUGGCGAACGGGUGAGUAAUAUAUCGGAACGUGCCCAGUAGUGGGGGAUAACUGCUCGAAAGAGCAGCUAAUACCGCAUACGACCUGAGGGAGAAAGGGGGGGAUCGCAAGACCUCUCGCUAUUGGAGCGGCCGAUAUCAGAUUAGCUAGUUGGUGGGGUAAAGGCCUACCAAGGCAACGAUCUGUAGUUGGUCUGAGAGGACGACCAGCCACACUGGGAAGGGAACACGGCCCAGACUCCUACGGGAGGCAGCAGUGGGGAAUUUUGGACAAUGGGCGCAAGCCUGAUCCAGCAAUGCCGCGUGCAGGAAGAAGGCCUUCGGGUUGUAAACUGCUUUUGUCAGGGAAGAAAUCCUCUAGGUUAAUACCCUUGGGGGGAUGACGGUACCUGAAGAAUAAGCACCGGCUAACUACGUGCCUGCCGCCGCAGUAACAC